UUCAUCUCCUCCUGCUUCCUGAGAAUGAUGCACUGUCUCUUCUUUUUGUUCCGUGAGCACCCCAAGGUUGCCCCUGCCUCGGGGCCUUUGCACGACUCUUCCAUUUUCUUGGAACCCUCUUCCAAGAUCGUGGCUCAGUUGCUUCCUCAUUGUUGACAUCACUUGUCACAUUCCCUGAAUACCCUGUCUAGAGAAGCACCACCCCUCUGCCCAUCACUGUCUGUCACACUGGCGUGCUCUCUCUCUCACAGCCCUUGUCGUCACCUGAAAUCAUCUGGGUUAUUUGCCCACUUGUGGACUGUCUUUUCUCCUCACUGGAAUGUAAGUUCUGGGACUGUUUUUGUCCCUGCCACGUCCUCAAUACUAACAACAGUGUGCCUAGCACAUGGCAGGUGCUCAAUGAGUACUUGUUCACAGAACCAGCCACAUGGACUAAGGGCCUAAGUUACAACUCAAGUUUAUUCUAGGUUGCUGCCCCCAGACUCUCUUUUGUAGGACAGCUUUUCCCUGUCCUACGACUUCUUUAAGACAGUAAUUUCUUUAAGUGCUCAGAGGUCACUCAUUUAUCUACCAGCUCUACCACCUACAGGCUGUGUGACCUUGGGCAAGUUACUUAAUGUCUCUGUGUCUCAGUUUUGUCAGCUGUAAAAUGGGGGUAAUAACAGUGCCCACUUCAUAGAGUAAAUGUGAGAAUUGAAUGAAUGCAUAAAGAGUGCUUAAAACAGCACAGGGACACAGUGUUCAAUAACGUUAGCUCUAUUAUUUUUAUCAUUGUUAUCAUCACCACUGUCAUCAUCACUGGUGUUUUUAAUUGAGAUAUACUUGACAUAUAACAUAUUAGUUGCAGCUGUACAGCAUAAUGAUUCAAUAUACGUAUAUAUUUCAACAUGAUCAGCAAAAUCUAGUUAACAUCCAUCACCAGUCUGACUCCUGGAAGAGGCAACUGGUGUCUCUGCCUUCACGUAAUAAUACUUUGUGCCACUCUGCCUGCACAGUACCCUCCAGUGGUUUUCGAUUUCACUUCAGAAAAAGACCAAACCCCUUUAAGUAGCCUGUGAGCCCCACAAGCACCUCUCCAGCCUCAUCCUGCAUGGCUUUCCCCGUUGUUUGACCCCCUGCAGUCACACCAGCCUCAUUUCAGCGUUCAUGUGACUUCUGCUUGUCCCACAUCAGGCACUUUGCCUGGAACUUACUCUCCCUCCACCUUUACCUGGUCAGUGCCUGCUCUUCGUCCCCAUCUCAGCUAGGUCAUUACCGUCUUAGCCUCCCACGACCACUGACGAGGGAAAUUCCCUAUUUCACACUCGGGGCAACACGUCCCUCUGUGGUAGCACGUCUCACAGUUGUGCGUUUGCUCUCUGCCUUCACUUGGAUUAACAUCUGCCUUCCCUGUUAGAUGCUAAACUCCAUGAGAACAGAGACCAACUCGUUCUUUGCUCACCUUUGUACUCCCAAUGCGAGCAGUGUUUGCACAGACCGGAACAGCUCCUGACUUCCAGCAGGUUCCACUUGCUAGCAACGUGGCAUGGGCAGCCCCUGCCUGCCAUGCUGCUUUCACAGGGUGCGCACAGAGCUACAAAAAUGGGAAAGCCUUUGCUCGUCUAAGCCAAGAUAGAAACUGGACGUGAAGCUGUAGCACAAUGGAGAAGUCUGUCUCGCUUCCUGGACUCGGCUGUCUUACUGCCAGACACUCAGCUUUUCCUUCCCUCUCGAAACAAGGUGACUGUGGUGUCCUGAUGGUGGACUGCUCUGUUCUGAUUUAGCUGGCUGAUGGUGUUUUCUUUAAUUGGUUCCAUCAGAGGUCCUUCAGGCUGCAGACCCGGACCAGUCCCCCCCGGAGUCUGUACCAAGACAUGGCAAAAUGAGAAAAAUAGGGACCAAAUAGGGAGUUUUCCUAAAACUAAAUGAAUUCUCAGAUUGUCUGCCCUACUUUUUUGUGUGUCAAGAUGCCCUUUCUUUUAUGAAACAAGGGUGAUGGGAGGUGAUGAUAGUUUUUUUUUAAUGUCCUUGUUUGUCAAAUCACCUACUUAAUUUUCUUUUGAAAUUUACGGGUCUGUGGACAGCAGCUUAGCCAGGAUGAGAACCUGGGUUUUCUAGUUCCAGGUUAGCACUCUCUGUGCUCUGCAGAC
rnacentral:lncRNA from 1 species